rnacentral:rRNA from 1 species
GGGUUGUGAGGUUAAGCGACUAAGCGUACACGGUGGAUGCCCUGGCAGUCAGAGGCGAUGAAGGGCGUGCUAAUCUGCGAUAAGCGCCGGUAAGGUGAUAUGAACCGUUAUAACCGGCGAUACCCGAAUGGGGAAACCCAGUGUGACUCGUCACACUAUCAUUAACUGAAUCCAUAGGUUAAUGAGGCGAACCGGGGGAACUGAAACAUCUAAGUACCCCGAGGAAAAGAAAUCAACCGAGAUUCCCCCAGUAGCGGCGAGCGAACGGGGAGGAGCCCAGAGCCUGAAUCAGCAUGUGUGUUAGUGGAAGCGUCUGGAAAGGCGCGCGAUACAGGGUGACAGCCCCGUACACAAAAGCGCAUGUGCUGUGAGCUCGAUGAGUAGGGCGGGACACGUGGUAUCCUGUCUGAAUAUGGGGGGACCAUCCUCCAAGGCUAAAUACUCCUGACUGACCGAUAGUGAACCAGUACCGUGAGGGAAAGGCGAAAAGAACCCCGGCGAGGGGAGUGAAAAAGAACCUGAAACCGUGUACGUACAAGCAGUGGGAGCCCCACCACCAAAGCAUUCUCUGGUGUUGAAGGCCCUGCAAAGCAGCAUCGCGGUGGCGGAGCGUCGUUUGCGACGCCCAACACACAAAACAAGCGGUGAGUGCUUUGGGGUGGGGUGACUGCGUACCUUUUGUAUAAUGGGUCAGCGACUUAUAUUCUGUAGCAAGGUUAACCGAAUAGGGGAGCCGGAGGGAAACCGAGUCUUAAUUGGGCGUUAAGUUGCAGGGUAUAGACCCGAAACCCGGUGAUCUAGCCAUGGGCAGGUUGAAGGUUGGGUAACACUAACUGGAGGACCGAACCGACUAAUGUUGAAAAAUUAGCGGAUGACCUGUGGCUGGGGGUGAAAGGCCAAUCAAACCGGGAGAUAGCUGGUUCUCCCCGAAAGCUAUUUAGGUAGCGCCUCGUGAAUUCAUCUCCGGGGGUAGAGCACUGUUUCGGCUAGGGGGCCAUCCCGGCUUACCAACCCGAUGCAAACUGCGAAUACCGGAGAAUGUUAUCACGGGAGACACACGGCGGGUGCUAACGUCCGUCGUGAAGAGGGAAACAACCCAGACCGCCAGCUAAGGUCCCAAAGUCAUGGUUAAGUGGGAAACGAUGUGGGAAGGCCCAGACAGCCAGGAUGUUGGCUUAGAAGCAGCCAUCAUUUAAAGAAAGCGUAAUAGCUCACUGGUCGAGUCGGCCUGCGCGGAAGAUGUAACGGGGCUAAACCAUGCACCGAAGCUGCGGCAGCGACACUGUGUGUUGUUGGGUAGGGGAGCGUUCUGUAAGCCUGUGAAGGUGGCCUGUGAGGGUUGCUGGAGGUAUCAGAAGUGCGAAUGCUGACAUAAGUAACGAUAAAGCGGGUGAAAAGCCCGCUCGCCGGAAGACCAAGGGUUCCUGUCCAACGUUAAUCGGGGCAGGGUGAGUCGACCCCUAAGGCGAGGCCGAAAGGCGUAGUCGAUGGGAAACGGGUUAAUAUUCCCGUACUUGGUGUUACUGCGAAGGGGGGACGGAGAAGGCUAUGUUGGCCGGGCGACGGUUGUCCCGGUUUAAGCGUGUAGGUGUGUGUUCCAGGUAAAUCCGGUUCACUUUAACACUGAGGCGUGACGACGAGGCACUACGGUGCUGAAGCAACAAAUGCCCUGCUUCCAGGAAAAGCCUCUAAGCAUCAGGUAACAUCAAAUCGUACCCCAAACCGACACAGGUGGUCAGGUAGAGAAUACCAAGGCGCUUGAGAGAACUCGGGUGAAGGAACUAGGCAAAAUGGUGCCGUAACUUCGGGAGAAGGCACGCUGACACGUAGGUGAAGUGAUUUACUCAUGGAGCUGAAGUCAGUCGAAGAUACCAGCUGGCUGCAACUGUUUAUUAAAAACACAGCACUGUGCAAACACGAAAGUGGACGUAUACGGUGUGACGCCUGCCCGGUGCCGGAAGGUUAAUUGAUGGGGUCAGCGCAAGCGAAGCUCCUGAUCGAAGCCCCGGUAAACGGCGGCCGUAACUAUAACGGUCCUAAGGUAGCGAAAUUCCUUGUCGGGUAAGUUCCGACCUGCACGAAUGGCGUAAUGAUGGCCAGGCUGUCUCCACCCGAGACUCAGUGAAAUUGAACUCGCUGUGAAGAUGCAGUGUACCCGCGGCAAGACGGAAAGACCCCGUGAACCUUUACUAUAGCUUGACACUGAACAUUGAGCCUUGAUGUGUAGGAUAGGUGGGAGGCUUUGAAGUGUGGACGCCAGUCUGCAUGGAGCCGACCUUGAAAUACCACCCUUUAAUGUUUGAUGUUCUAACGUGGACCCGUAAUCCGGGUUGCGGACAGUGUCUGGUGGGUAGUUUGACUGGGGCGGUCUCCUCCUAAAGAGUAACGGAGGAGCACGAAGGUUGGCUAAUCCUGGUCGGACAUCAGGAGGUUAGUGCAAUGGCAUAAGCCAGCUUGACUGCGAGCGUGACGGCGCGAGCAGGUGCGAAAGCAGGUCAUAGUGAUCCGGUGGUUCUGAAUGGAAGGGCCAUCGCUCAACGGAUAAAAGGUACUCCGGGGAUAACAGGCUGAUACCGCCCAAGAGUUCAUAUCGACGGCGGUGUUUGGCACCUCGAUGUCGGCUCAUCACAUCCUGGGGCUGAAGUAGGUCCCAAGGGUAUGGCUGUUCGCCAUUUAAAGUGGUACGCGAGCUGGGUUUAGAACGUCGUGAGACAGUUCGGUCCCUAUCUGCCGUGGGCGCUGGAGAACUGAGGGGGGCUGCUCCUAGUACGAGAGGACCGGAGUGGACGCAUCACUGGUGUUCGGGUUGUCAUGCCAAUGGCACUGCCCGGUAGCUAAAUGCGGAAGAGAUAAGUGCUGAAAGCAUCUAAGCACGAAACUUGCCCCGAGAUGAGUUCUCCCUGAGACUUUAAGUCUCCUGAAGGAACGUUGAAGACGACGACGUUGAUAGGCCGGGUGUGUAAGCGCAGCGAUGCGUUGAGCUAACCGGUACUAAUGAACCGUGAGGCUUAACCUUACAACGCCGAAG